AAACUCCAUAUAUUGCAAACCAAUGUUCAUCUGUAUUAAAUAUAUAAUCUAGGCUGGAUUACAAUUAUUUAUUGCAUACUGGAAUUUCACAAAUAUUUUGUUUUCCAUUUAUUUUUCAAAAAUAAAGCUACUGUGUUUAUUAUGUAAAUAAUUGUUGCUGACAAUCUCCAGCGUUUGUCUUAACAGAUUUAGCACCUAAGAAAUUCACCGUCGAUUCAAGAAAAAGAGUCUUCGUGCUACUCAUCAACUUCAAAAAAUGAGUGAUAGGCAUUCAAUGAAUCAGGAAGAAGCUACAAAGGCAUUCUUGUCUGGUGUUUCCGAGAGAACCAGAUCAAAGAGAGAUGCCUACUUAGGGGUUAGAGCACAAGCACAGGGGAUUCCUUCAAGCUCUUACUAUGAUAGUAUAAGAGAGCGGAAGAGGAAGAGAGAAAUGAAGCCAGCUACAAGUGUUGGAGGCCGAAGAAAAAGAUCUGGUUCUUUCAUAAAGAUGGGGAUGGACAAUGAAGACUUGGAUUCAGAAGGAGGUGCCAUCAAGAUUAUUGAUAAAGCUGAGUACAUCAGUCAGAUACCAUUUUUCGCGCCAAAGAUGAAAUCCUCCAGCAAGGAAAAAUUGAAUAGAAGUUCUUCUUCUGCCACUCCUAAGAAGGGCGCAAUUAAGAAAAAGACCCCCGUUGUUGGCCAUGAUUCUGAACAUGCAUAUCCACACGAAUCGUGUUCAUUUAUCCAAAUAGAGAGUGACAGCGACGAAACGACACCUGAGGAUAUUGAGAUCCAGAGGGUUGAUAAAGCUGAACUCAAGAGUGGGAAAAUAUAUUUCAAGUCAAAGAGAGGGCAGUCAGAAAUGCAAGGCCUUUCUACUGCUCGGUUAAGCAAGAAAGUUGGUGGUGCCUGUGAGUCUGCUCAUCAUUCCAUAAUCAGUUUAAGUGAUUAUUCCACUGGUUCUGAUACAUUGGCUGAGGACUCAACUUCAUUGGCAGCCGAAGUCAAUGAAGAUAGGAGUUUCAGAGAUAUUUCAAGUAAGGGUGUGCUUAAGAAAGGCAAGACUCCCUUAAAUAGGCAAGGAUACUCUGACAUCAGCUCUAAGAAGAAGAGGGCUGACAUUGUGAAAAAAUCUUCUAGGGAUGCUUUCAGAGGUAAACAAGCUGAUAGGUCAAGAUCAUCUGCACAAAAAGUGAACAGAGAUGAAAAUAGGCAUGAACAGCUUGGUAUUGAGAUAAUUGAUGAGGCUGAGUUCAGGAAGCGGAAGAGAUUGUUUGUUUCAGAGAUUGGAUCCUCGACUGGUCAGCAGCAAGAUGAAGAACAUAUUGCUGGCACUUCUACAAAGAAUGUCAGAAGAGUGAGCAAAAAGAAACCAUCUUCUAUCAAGAAUGAUGGAAACAAACAAAGGGGAAAAGCUUCUGUCUCAGCAUUGAAGAACAAAGGUCCAGCAUGGCAUAAGAAUGUUGUUCAUGAUGAUGAUGAUGAGGAUAGUAGGUCGGACGAAUCCCUUUGCUCUUCCUCAAGAACGGAGUCCGAUACAUCUCCCCAAGACUCUGAAGUCAGCUCAUAUGCUGGAGAGCAGGAGAUGGGUGUUGGUGUUGCAAAUCGGACUCGAUUAAAGACAGGGAGCAUCAAGAAGUCAUCAGAAGUUGGAAGUGUCUCGUUGGGUUCAUCAGCCGAUUCAGAUUCAUUAACUACUAUUAGUGAAUCUGACAAUUCUCUUGAUUCAGAUUUUGAAGUGAAGAGCUCUGAUAACGACAUAGAGUUGUUGAGCAUUCAACAACAGGCAUGCGAAGUCCAGCCUGCAGGCAUGGCUAAUCAAAGGAAGGUGCCAACCAGAGCAAAGGAGGCAGCUCCUAGCUCCCACUCAAAUGACAGCCAUGAUCAUAGUCCUAAUGGUAAUAAGGGAAAAAUUGAAGCAGCAACGACUUCGGAUUCACAUCUUCGUGCUAAGAGUAAGCCUGCAGACAUGGCUAAUCAAAGGAAGGUUCCAACCAGAGCAAAGGAGGCAGCUCCUAGCUCCCACUCAAAUGACAGCCAUGAUCAUAGUCCUAAUGGUACCAGGGGAAAAAUUGAAGCAGCAACGACUUCGGAUUCACAUCUUCGUGCCAAGAGUAAGCCUGCAGGCAUGGCUAAUCAAAGAAAAGUGCCAACCAGAGCAAAGGAGGCAGCUCCUAGCUCCCACUCAAAUGACAGCCAUGAUCAUAGUCCUAAUGGUACCAAGGGAAUAAUUGAAGCAGCAACGACUUCGGAUUCGCAUCUUCGUGCUAAGAGUAAGCCUGCAGACAUGGCUAGUGAAAACAAAGUGCCAACAGUACCAAAGAAGGCAGCUCCUCCCUCCCACUCAAAAGUUGUCAAUGAUCAUACUGAAGAGAAUACCAAGGAAAGGGCUGAAGCAGGCACUUCAGAUUCACGUGAUCAUGCUCAGACUGAGGCUGCAGACAUGGCUAAUGAAACAGAGGUGCCAAUGAGAAGAAAGCCAGUAUCUCCAAGAGAAGACAAGGAUUUAUGCAGUGUGCUUGCAGAUGCUGUAUUGGGAGGUGGACAACUUCCUACAGACAGCGAAAUUUGUGAAGAAGCCAAGCAGGCACCUGCAUCUCAAACUCAAGAUACUCUUCCACUGAAGUUCAGGUUUGAAGACGAGGUACCUAAACCGGUGGAGAAAACUGAGAAAGAAAUAGAGUAUGACAACUUAUUUUGUGUGCUAGACCGUGAAUGGGCACUUGAGGGACUGCAAUCCUAUGACUACACUGAGGAUAUCUUAGGAAAGGAAAAUUCUCCUCCUGAAGAAACUCAGCAUGCGAGAUGUUCCAGAGGGAAACAUGAGUUGGUUUUAGAAGAUGAGCAUGGAUUAAUAUGUAUAUUCUGCCGUCAUGAGGAACUUGGACCAAAGGAUGUCAUGCCUGAAUGGGCAGAAAGAACUUACAGGGAUUCAGGCAGAAAAAAAUGCAAUGAAACAGAACAAGUCUCGUUUGAUGAACUUCAUUUGUCAACCAAUGAUGUUGAUGAUGCUGGCUGCAGUAGUAAUGCUACUGGUACUGUAUGGAGCAUCAAACCAGGUGUAAGAGAGAGUAUGUACGAGCACCAGCGCGAAGGCUUUGAGUUUCUGUGGAAAAACCUGGCAGGAAGCAUCAAUCUUGAUGAACUGAAGAGCACUGAUCCAGUUGGAGUAGGCGGAUGCAUCAUUUCUCAUGCUCCAGGGACUGGGAAGACGCGUUUGACUAUGGUCUUCGUUGAAACCUACUGCAAAAUGUUCCCGGACUGCAUGCCAGUGAUCAUUAGCCCAGCCAGCACUCUCCUCAACUGGGAAGAAGAGUUCAAGAAAUGGAAUGUCGGGUUCCCCUUCCAUAACUUGAGCAAUCUUGAAUUGUCUGGCAAGGAGCUUUUUACUCCAACCAAGAGCAUGGGCAAGGAAGUUGUGCGUAUGGUCAAGAUAUAUUCCUGGGCCAAGGGGGGGAGCAUUCUGGGAAUCAGCUACAGCUUGUUUGAGAAGCUAACCGGAGAGAGAAACAUAAAAGAGAAGACAAAGAAGAAUAAGAAGACAGAGGCUGUUGCUAGAAAUAAUGACAAGAUUAGGCAAAUACUAUUGGAGAAGCCUGGAUUGGUUGUUCUUGAUGAAGGGCACACGCCUCGAAAUAAUAGGAGUAAUAUUUGGAAUGCUCUCCUCAAGCUUCAGACGGAGAAGCGGAUCAUUCUUUCUGGAACUCCUUUCCAGAACAACUUUGGCGAACUCUUCAACACACUGCGGAUAGUGAGGCCAGCAAUUGCAGACGAGCUUGCACAAGAGAAGACGUAUGCUGAAGCGGUCAUGCCACGGAGAGUGUCUUCAAGCAGAAAACACAAGAGGGAGCAUGGACAAUCUUCUUUAAUUUCAGAAGAUGGUUUGGAGUCCCUAAAAGCUCGCAUGUCGCCCUUCGUUCAUCUACACAAAGGCACCAUCCUCAAGCAGAGUCUGCCCGGUUUGAGAGACUGUGUUAUCCUCCUCAAACCCCUGCCACUGCAGAAGAGUCUGAUUAAGACAUUAGAAAGCUCCAGCAACUUCAAGUUUGAACAUGAAGUUACUAUGAUAUCUGUGCACCCAUAUCUCUUGCUAAAAUGUAAAACAACAGAAAGUAGGAAGAGUGGAAUUGACAUGGAUGCAGUUAAGGAUUCCAAGCUCAAUCCUCAAGCAGGUGUCAAGACAAGAUUUCUUAUGGAGCUAGUUCACCUAAGCAUGGCAGUGAAUGAGAAAGUACUUGUUUUCAGCCAGUAUAUUCAACCUCUUGUGCUUAUAAAGAAACAGCUGGAAAAAGUCUUCCAAUGGACUGAAGGGAAGGAAAUUCUUCAGAUGCGAGGGAGGCAAACCCAAAAACAGCGGCAGCUCUUGAAAAAUAUGUUCAAUGAUGCGAAUAGUGAAUCCAAGAUCAUGCUUGCAUCAACCAAGUGCUGCUCCGAGGGCAUAAGCUUGGUUGGGGCUUCGAGGGUGGUCUUGUUGGAUGUUGUCUGGAAUCCCUCCGUCGAAAGGCAGGCAAUAUGUCGUGCUUAUAGGAUCGGGCAGAAGAAGUUCGUCCACACCUACCAUUUGAUGACUUCUGGGACUUCAGAGGAUGAUAAAUACUGCAGGCAAGCUGAGAAAGAGCGUUUAUCUGAGCUGGUGUUCUCGUCUUCAAAUGAAAGCAACCAACUGAAAGAUACCUCUUCGGGCAUUGAGGACAGGAUCCUUGAGGUGAUGAUUGCUGAUGAUGGCUUAAAAGGGAUGUUUGAAAAGAUCAUCAACCAGCCAAAAGAGACAGAUCUAAUCCAAACAUUUGGUCUAACAGAUUGAGCUAUGUUUCCAAGUUUUCUCUCAUUUUUCCUUGAUGACUCUCUGCAAAUGACGAAAGCAGAAACUCCAGCUCGGUUAGCGGUCUAUAUAGGAAAUGCUGCCAACGACCUUCUUGCCAUCAUCAACAACAAUCGAACAUCCCAGAAGCUUCCCAAGUUAAGCAGCAGUCGAGGCCUCGGGUGCAUUGCUCUGCAGUAUGCACAAGAAUGCAAGAGCAACUGCAGCAGCAACAAUACCAUCCAUUGUCAGCCAUUAGAGAAUGAUUUCACCUAAGUCUUUGCUCCCAAUUGUGGUAUUGAGCUCCCCACUUUUGGAACCAUAUCCGGCCUUAUUUUGGGAUGCCACCAGAAAUAUCAUCAGCCACAUGAAGCCUUCCCAAAUGUUCUCGUUCAAGAUCAGAAGACGCUGUCUCUGCUGAGAAACAAGAUGAUCACUGAAGCUGGAGUGGGUAUAAUUGACAGCCACAAGCAUAAGGGGCCUUACAUUUGGUGUGUUUUGUUCAGUAACAGCCCGAAAAACAGUACGUUUGUUCUUGAAGAUCUCUGUGAAGGAGUCGAGCAGAAGAGAGGCUGUUACAGUGGAGCUACCUUGCCUUGCAGUGCAGGACACAAGAAUUCUGGUUUGGUUGUGAACACUCUGAUACUUUCACUCAUAAUUUAUUCUUCCUCACUUUUGUGGUGAAUGGUGAUACUGUUAUUUGAUUACUAUUUUUGAUAUUUCAUCUUCAUUUAAGCAU